rnacentral:hammerhead_ribozyme from 1 species
AUUCAGCUGAUGAGUCACAAAUAGGAUGAAACACGCGUCCUGUAU